AAAAUAAUUAAGGAAUAAAUAUAAAUGUAUAUUUUAUAAAUUUUUCAUUUACUUUUUUGUAUUUUCUCCCAGUGGAAAUAAAUAAAUUGCUAUAUACAUCAUUAGAUAAUUAACAAAAUCAGAUCUGACGUUUUGGGUAUAACUCAAAUAGUUUUCAAAGAAUUCCCUCCAGAUUAAAGGUUUUUCUUGCCAUGAUAAAAACAUUACAUAUUAAAUCGGUUCCUGUAGCAACAUGGCGGCUGGAUCCUUUGUGGAAGCUGGUAAAACUUAUGCAAACGCACUGAUUGACAACUUUCCCCUGUUCUCAUUGUUCCUUAAACGCAACAGGAACUGCUGAUCUCCAUCUUCUGGAUUCGUCCACAGUUGAGAAAAUGCCGCACUAACUAGCUCCAGCUGCGUUUCCAUUGAUGACAUACACUUUGAAGUUUUGAAAACAAAUUAGCUUAAUCAGAUAACUAGUUUAAUGGAAAUGAAUGUCGAAAAAACUUGAUUUUUGUUUUAAAAAUAAAGUUUUGGCGCUAGGAUGUGUGUUUCUUUCUGCUUAUUUCGCAAAACUGCAGUGGAAACACUUUUCUCACUUCACACGAGUCAUGUGAUCCACAACCGCAUGUUGCCACCGGAGUAAACCACGAAGAAGAAAGCAGGAAGUGGUAGGAGGAUAAUAGCGUGGCAUGUUUUUUUAAUGAUUUGUCACGUAGACAAAGAUAUUUACGUGCUCAGUCGUUUGUGAUGAAACUCCGAAACAAUCAAGCUUGUGUGUGCCAUUUGUACAGCCUCUAAAAUCAUGAAAAAUACGAAUAUUUUCUGAUCUGUUGCAGUCGGGAUGGCGGAGCUGUCGCCUCGGUAACUGAUGUAAUAAAAAAAAAGGAUACUGCGUG